rnacentral:lncRNA from 1 species
GGCCAUCACAAAUUUCUGCUUACGUCACGUCAUCAACAGCAUGUCCUUUCUUCAUAAAUAACACAUUUGGAGCCUCUCAAACAUAUUAUCUUACAUUCUACCUUAUUUUUAAAGAGUAACAACAUCCUACAUGAAAUCCUAAAAAAAAUCUCAACUACAUAAAAUAAAUGAAAGAACAAUAGAUGUCUACACUGUGUUGCAUCAAACAGACUUCAAACUGUGAGAUUGGUGUUAUCAAAACCGAAUUGGUCAUUAAUUUUGUCAAGUUACGGGGUCAUUAGUUGAUAGUUGAACAAGUAGGUCAUUUGUCAAACUGAUACAUAUUAAAUUUAUGAAUGUUAUACUACACAUAUUAUAAUAAAUUAUACUCAUAAUUUUAAUAUGAAAUAUUGAAAGGGAUACUUGUAAUUUGUAUGUUGUGUACUAUUGACACGGAUAUUCCAAAUUAUGCAAAAUAUGGAUAACUAAAAUGACUCUGCCUUUAAAUGGAAUCCAAAAUAUGUCAUAAAAACAGAGCUAAUUGUGUAUAAUAUUGUGUAGUAUAACAUUCAUAAAUUUAGUGACCGAAUUGGUCACUAAUUCAGUAAAGGUACGGGGUAUGUUGGUAGAUAGUUGAACCAGUAGGUCAUUUGUCAAACUGAUAUAUUAAAUUUAUGAAUGUUAUAUUACACAUAUUACAGUAUCAUCUUCAUACGAAAUAUUGAAAGGAAUAUUGUA